UACGGGGGGGGCAAGCGUUGUUCGGAAUUACUGGGCGUAAAGGGCGCGUAGGCGGCCUACUAAGUCGGACGUGAAAUCCCUCGGCUUAACCGGGGAACUGCGUCUGAUACUGGAUGGCUUGAGUUUGGGAGAGGGAUGCGGAAUUCCAGGUGUAGCGGUGAAAUGCGUAGAUAUCUGGAGGAACACCGGUGGCGAAGGCGGCAUCCUGGACCAACACUGGCACUGAGGAGCGAAAGCCAGGGGAGCAAACGGG
rnacentral:rRNA from 1 species